rnacentral:rRNA from 1 species
UACGAAGGGGCUAGCGUUGCUCGGAAUCACUGGGCGUAAAGCGCACGUAGGCGGAUUGCUAAGUCAGGGGUGAAAUCCUGGAGCUCAACUCCAGAACUGCCUUUGAUACUGGCGAUCUCGAGUCCGGGAGAGGUGAGUGGAACUGCGAGUGUAGAGGUGAAAUUCGUAGAUAUUCGCAAGACACCAGUGGCGAAGGCGGCUCACUGGCCCGGUACGUGACGCUGACGGUG